rnacentral:rRNA from 1 species
UACGAACUGUGCGAACGUUAUUCGGAAUCACUGGGCUUACAGGGUGCGUAGGCGGCUUUUCAAGUCAGGUGUGAAAGCCCCCGGCUCAACCGGGGAACUGCGCUUGAAACUGAAAGGCUCGAGUCAGCUAGAGGUACACGGAACUUCCAGUGGAGCGGUGAAAUGUGUUGAUAUUGGAAGGAACACCGGAGGCGAAGGCGGGUCUCUGGGCCGAUACUGACGCUGAGGAGCGAAAGCGUGGGGAGCGAACAGG